UCAACAGAUGUAUCUUUCACAAAAACUUUAGGUUUGGCAAUAAUUUACUUCAGCCAAAGAAAAAAUGUAAUUGUUUCUACAUUUUUAAAUAUCGAAGAAAUUCCUAAUGGAACUGCCGAAAGCAUUGUUAUUUCUUUAAAAGAUACCCUGCAAAAAUUUAAAUUAAAUAUUAAUAAAUUAGUCGGAAUUGGUACUGACAAUGCCAAUGUAAUGAUUGGUAAAAAUAAAAGCGUCCAUGUGGCACUAAAAAAAGAUGUUCCUGAUUUGGUUCUUGUGAAAUGCGUAUGCCACUCAUUACAGCUUGCAGUAAACCAGUCCUUGAAAGACUUUUUACCCACAAAUUUGGAAUUUAUUGUUUAUGAAACAUUCAACUGGUUUUCAAAGAGCUCUAAUCGUCAACAAUCCUAUAAAACUUUAUACGAAAAUUUGAAUGGAAAAGAGCCGUUAAAAAUUACUAGAAUUUCAGACACAAGAUGGCUAUCUGUAGAAAUUGCGGUUGUAAGAAUAUUGUUCCAAUGGGAUGAACUAAAGUUACAUUUUGAAAUGGCAAACAUAAAUGAAAAAUGCCACAAAGCUAAAAUCUUAUACGAAAUGUAUAGGGACGAAACAAUUCAUCUAUAUUUACUUUUUUUGAAACCAGUUUUGCAUGAAAUACAAAUUGUUAACAAAGUCUUUCAAAGCAAUGAAAAUGACCCAACGCGCCUUUUAAAAGAAAUAACUCUAUUAAUUAACUUCCUUAAAAAAAAAAUAUUCGAUAACGAAAUUAUAGAUGUAUUAAUUUUGUACACCUGUAGUCUUGGUUAUGAAUUCGAAAUGCAUCUGGAAAAAUUAAAAAAACACAGGUAAAAUUCGAAAAAAUAAAGUACAAGAAAUUAGGAAUAAUUGCAUCAACUUCGUUGUUGGAUUAAUUACCCAAUUAAAACAAAGAUUACCAGACAAUAUAAAAAUUUUACAAAAUAUAGAUUUUUUUUCGGUACAAAACGUUUUGAGUUCCCAAAAGGGCGAAAUUUUACCAAUUUUAAAAUUAUUUUGCAUUAGCGAGGAAGAAAUUGGAAAAAUAAUUGACCAAUAUUCCAACAUUCAAUAUAUAAAAUGGAUUAAUAAAAAUAACACAGUAUCUUUCUGGGCAGAGGUAAAAGCAUAUAGAGAUGCCGGAGGGAACAAGAGAUUCGAGGAGAUUGCCAAUUUUGUUUUAAAACUUCUCUGUCUUCCGUGGUCUAAUGCGGACGUUGAACGUGUGUUCAGUCAAAUGAACAUCGUAAAGACAAAUAUAAGAAACCGAUUACACCUACAGACAGUAAAUUCUGUUUUAGCAAUUAGAUACGGAUUAAAAGGAAGCGGAAAGUGUUGUUACCAAUACGAUGUCCCAACGAAUUACCUGAAAUUAAUUGGAUCGAGUGAAUGCUAUGAUUAUAAUAAUAAUGAUGAUAAUGACGAUGACAAUGACUGGAUUUUUUAAAUUCAUCAAAUUAUUUUCGACAACUUAUGUGAUCAAAUAUGAAUUUUAAAAGUUAAUUUUUGAAUAGUAA